AUUGAACGCUGGCGGCAGGCCUAACACAUGCAAGUCGAACGGUAACAGGAAACAGCUUGCUGUUUCGCUGACGAGUGGCGGACGGGUGAGUAAUGUCUGGGAAACUGCCUGAUGGAGGGGGAUAACUACUGGAAACGGUAGCUAAUACCGCAUAACGUCGCAAGACCAAAGAGGGGGACCUUCGGGCCUCUUGCCAUCGGAUGUGCCCAGAUGGGAUUAGCUAGUAGGUGGGGUAACGGCUCACCUAGGCGACGAUCCCUAGCUGGUCUGAGAGGAUGACCAGCCACACUGGAACUGAGACACGGUCCAGACUCCUACGGGAGGCGGCAGUGGGGAAUAUUGCACAAUGGGCGAAAGCCUGAUGCAGCAAUGCCGCGUGUAUGAAGAAGGCCUUCGGGUUGUAAAGUACUUUCAGCGGGGAGGAAGGGAGUAAAGUUAAUACCUUUGCUCAUUGACGUUACCCGCAGAAGAAGCACCGGCUAACUCCGUG
rnacentral:rRNA from 1 species